rnacentral:rRNA from 1 species
UACAGAGGUCCCAAGCGUUGUUCGGAUUCACUGGGCGUAAAGGGUGCGUAGGUGGUCGGGUAAGUUUGAUGUGAAAGCUCCGAGCUUAACUCGGAAAUUGCAUUGAAUACUAUUCGGCUAGAGGGUUGGAGGGGGGACUGGAAUUCUCGGUGUAGCAGUGAAAUGCGUAGAUAUCGAGAGGAACACCAGUGGCGAAGGCGAGUCCCUGGACAACUCCUGACACUGAGGCACGAAAGCUAGGGGAGCAAACGGG